rnacentral:rRNA from 1 species
AGGACGAACGCUGGCGGCGUGCUUAACACAUGCAAGUCGAGCGGUAAGGCCUUUCGGGGUACACGAGCGGCGAACGGGUGAGUAACACGUGGGUGAUCUGCCCUGCACUCUGGGAUAAGCCUGGGAAACUGGGUCUAAUACCGGAUAUGACCUGCUCUCGCAGUGGGGGGUGGUAGGAAAGUAUUUUAGUCGGUG